UACGUAGGGGGCAAGCGUUGUCCGGAUUUAUUGGGCGUAAAGAGCGUGUAGGCGGCUUUACAGGUCCGUUGUGAAAACUCGAGGCUCAACCUCGAGACGCCGGUGGAAACCGUAAGGCUAGAGUCCGGAAGAGGAGAGUGGAAUUCCCGGUGUAGCGGUGAAAUGCGCAGAUAUCGGGAAGAACACCCGUGGCGAAGGCGGCAUCCUGGACCGGUAUUGACGCUGAGGCGCGAAAGCCAGGGGAGCAAACGGG
rnacentral:rRNA from 1 species